AAUCUAUUCAAAGAGACUUGAUGAGAGGAAGUGUAGAAAGGAUUUCAUACUAGAAAGAAAUUUAUUAUAUCCAAAUCCUUUUGAAAAGGACUUAUCUCCGGAAGAAAAGGCGAUAUGUCGACGUUAUGAUGUCUUCAUGUGCUUCCACUCCAAGGAAGAGCAUACAUAAUUACUUCAAACUGUUAUUGGAGAGCAUCGAACUCUGAAAAGGAUCCAAGAACUUAAGGAAGCCCGAAAUGCUGGUUGCCGUACAUCGUCCGAGGCAGAUAGAUACCUUGAACAGAAAAGGAAAAGAGAAGCUGAAGAAAAUGCUCGCAGAGCAAGGGAAAGUGGCGAGGUUGGCCCAAGUUGUUAGGGAAAUCCAAAUUUAAGCUCUGCCAGUGAAAUGGAUAUAUUGGGUGUUUAUGGAUCAGAUUUACUGUCUGAAGCUGAGAAACGUCUCUGCAGCGAAAUGGGGUUACCCCCACCCUUUUACCUUAAGAUGGAAGAAGUCAUCUCAAUUGAAAUCUUCAGCGGCAAUGUCACCAAAAGAUCAGAUGCCCAUCACCUGUUCAAGAUUGAACCUAGUAAAAUUGACAGGGUCUACGACAU